GCCUGGAUGGUGAAAUAGGUAGACACAAGAGACUUAAAAUCUCUCGACCUUUAGGUCGUACCGGUUCGAUUCCGGUUCCAGGCACCA
rnacentral:tRNA from 2 species